rnacentral:lncRNA from 1 species
UGACGUCAUGCACGAAGCGGGGUUAGAAGAGCGAUUUUAUUGGCGGGCGGGGCGGUGACGUCAUCGCCGGGGCUCCCAGUACAAACCAGUGCGACCAGUAUGGACCAGUAACAGCUCCCAGUGCUCCCAGUAUGGACCAGUAUGGACCAGUGACCGCUCCCAGUGCUCCCAGUGCUCCCAGUAUGGACCAGUGACCGCUCCCAGUGCUCCCAGUAUGAACCAGUAACAGCUCCCAGUAUGGCCCAGUAUGGCCCAAAGCCUCUCCCAGUACAAACCAGUGCUCCCAGUAUGACCCCAAACCCCAUCCCA